CGGCGGACGGGUGAGUAACACGUGGGUAACCUGCCUGUAAGACUGGGAUAACUCCGGGAAACCGGGGCUAAUACCGGAUACUUGUUUGAACCGCAUGGUUCAAACAUAAAAGGUGGCUUCGGCUACCACUUACAGAUGGACCCGCGGCGCAUUAGCUAGUUGGUGAGGUAAUGGCUCACCAAGGCAACGAUGCGUAGCCGACCUGAGAGGGUGAUCGGCCACACUGGGACUGAGACACGGCCCAGACUCCUACGGGAGGCAGCAGUAGGGAAUCUUCCGCAAUGGACGAAAGUCUGACGGAGCAACGCCGCGUGAGUGAUGAAGGUUUUCGGAUCGUAAAGCUCUGUUGUUAGGGAAGAACAAGUGCCGUUCAAAUAGGGCGGCACCUUGACGGUACCUAACCAGAAAGCCACGGCUAACUACGUGCCAGCAGCCGCGGUAAUACGUAGGUGGCAAGCGUUGUCCGGAAUUAUUGGGCGUAAAGGGCUCGCAGGCGGUUUCUUAAGUCUGAUGUGAAAGCCCCCGGCUCAACCGGGGAGGGUCAUUGGAAACUGGGGAACUUGAGUGCAGAAGAGGAGAGUGGAAUUCCACGUGUAGCGGUGAAAUGCGUAGAGAUGUGGAGGAACACCAGUGGCGAAGGCGACUCUCUGGUCUGUAACUGACGCUG
rnacentral:rRNA from 1 species